rnacentral:tRNA from 1 species
GAGGGUAUAGCUUAAGUGGCAGAGCACAUGCUUAGCAUGCACGAGGUCCUGGGUUCAAUCCUCAGUACCUCUU